UCCGCGCAAACGAUUAAAUGCUGUAUAUGUCUAGUAAAAAGGUCUAGACGUUUCUACUACCGAGCCUAUCUUGGUGACUACAGUUUUUAGUGUAGAGACC
rnacentral:ncRNA from 1 species